AGAACAACGUUGAACGGGAAGAGUAGGAAGGUAUGGCCUUCAGAGAGCGGAAUUGCUACCAAGCGCUGAGAGAUUCCGCAGGAACCAGCUUGCCGAAGUCGCCCCGGAGUUGCGGACUUGAGAUAGAGUAGGAUCGAUUGCUACCCUGGUUAGAGUUCGCCGGCCGCAGCCGUUAUCUGCGUAAAGUGUCGUGCUUGACCGAAAGCCUUUCAUGUUCUUCAUGGGAGGACAACGGUUGCUGAACCAUGUAAGCACGAAACAAAGGUGGUACCGCGAGAGAACAGUCUUUCGUCCUUUGA
rnacentral:ncRNA from 1 species